CCUACGGGGUGCAGCAGUGGGGAAUAUUGGACAAUGGGCGAAAGCCUGAUCCAGCCAUGCCGCGUGUGUGAAGAAGGCCUUCGGGUUGUAAAGCACUUUCAGUGGGGAAGAAAGCCUUGGGGCUAAUACCCUCGAGGAAGGACAUCACCCACAGAAGAAGCACCGGCUAACUCCGUGCCAGCAGCCGCGGUAAUACGGAGGGUGCGAGCGUUAAUCGGAAUUACUGGGCGUAAAGCGCGCGUAGGCGGUCUGAUAAGCCGGUUGUGAAAGCCCCGGGCUAACCUGGGAACGGCAUCCGGAGUGGGAGGGUGAGAGGGCAGGAGGGGGAGGUAAAAUCCCCGGGGGAGGGGGGAAAUGCGUGGGGCGCGGGAGGAAUACCGGUGGGGAAGGGGGCCUUCGGGCCUGACACUGCCCCGGGGGGGGGAAAGCGUGGGUAGAAACCAGGAUUAGAUACCCCGGAAGUC
rnacentral:rRNA from 1 species